rnacentral:rRNA from 1 species
GUCGAGCGGUAAGGCCUUUCGGGGUACACGAGCGGCGAACGGGUGAGUAACACGUGGGUGAUCUGCCCUGCACUCUGGGAUAAGCCUGGGAAACUGGGUCUAAUACCGGAUAUGACCUGCUCUCGCAUGGGGGUGGGUGGAAAGAUUUAUCGGUGCAGGAUGGGCCCGCGGCCUAUCAGCUUGUUGGUGGGGUAAUGGCCUACCAAGGCGACGACGGGUAGCCGACCUGAGAGGGUGACCGGCCACACUGGGACUGAGACACGGCCCAGACUCCUACGGGAGGCAGCAGUGGGGAAUAUUGCACAAUGGGCGAAAGCCUGAUGCAGCGACGCCGCGUGAGGGAUGAAGGCCUUCGGGUUGUAAACCUCUUUCAGCAGGGACGAAGCGUGAGUGACGGUACCUGCAGAAGAAGCACCGGCUAACUACGUGCCAGCAGCCGCGGUAAUACGUAGGGUGCGAGCGUUGUCCGGAAUUACUGGGCGUAAAGAGUUCGUAGGCGGUUUGUCGCGUCGUUUGUGAAAACCCGGGGCUCAACUUCGGGCUUGCAGGCGAUACGGGCAGACUUGAGUGUUUCAGGGGAGACUGGAAUUCCUGGUGUAGCGGUGAAAUGCGCAGAUAUCAGGAGGAACACCGGUGGCGAAGGCGGGUCUCUGGGAAACAACUGACGCUGAGGAACGAAAGCGUGGGUAGCAAAC